GACGAACGCUGGCGGCGUGCCUAAUACAUGCAAGUCGAACGCACAGUUUAUACCGUAGCUUGCUACACCAUAAACUGUGAGUUGCGAACGGGUGAGUAACGCGUAGGUAACCUGCCUGGUAGCGGGGGAUAACUAUUGGAAACGAUAGCUAAUACCGCAUAAUAUUAAUUAUUGCAUGAUAAUUGAUUGAAAGAUGCAAUUGCAUCACUACCAGAUGGACCUGCGUUGUAUUAGCUAGUAGGUGAGGUAACGGCUCACCUAGGCGACGAUACAUAGCCGACCUGAGAGGGUGAUCGGCCACACUGGGACUGAGACACGGCCCAGACUCCUACGGGAGGCAGCAGUAGGGAAUCUUCGGCAAUGGACGAAAGUCUGACCGAGCAACGCCGCGGGAGUGAAGAAGGUUGUCGGAUCGUAAAGCUCUGUUGUAAGAGAAGAACGGGUGUGAGAGUGGAAAGUUCACACUGUGACGGUAGCUUACCAGAAAGGGACGGCUAACUACGUG
rnacentral:rRNA from 1 species